rnacentral:rRNA from 1 species
UGGCGGUGCGCAUACACAUGCAAGUCGAGCGAGGGCUCUUCUCCCGCAAGGGAGGGGAGUUCCUAGCGGCGAACGGGUGAGUAACACGUGGGCAACCUUUCCUAUCGCGGGGGAUAACAGCGGGAAACCGCUGCUAACACCGCAUGUCGUCAUCGGUCGCAUGGCCGGUGAAAAAAGCAGCAAUGCACGAUGGGGUGGGCCCGCGGCCUAUCAGCUAGUCGGUGGGGUAACGGCCUACCGAGGCGAUGACGGGUAGCUGGUCUGAGAGGACGACCAGCCACACGGGGACUGAGACACGGCCCCGACUCCUACGGGAGGCAGCAGUGAGGAAUCUUCCGCAAUGGGCGAAAGCCUGACGGAGCGACACCGCGUGUGGGAUGAAGUCCUUCGGGAUGUAAACCACUGUUGGAGGGGAAGACAACUGACGGUACCCUCCGAGAAAGCCCCGGCUAACUACGUGCCAGCAGCCGCGGUAAUACGUAGGGGGCUAGCGUUAUCCAGAUUUACUGGGCGUAAAGCGCGUGUANGCGGCUGGUUAAGCGUGAUGUGAAAUCCUCGGGCUCAACCCGA